UGGGGAAUAUUGCACAAUGGUCGAAAGCCUGAUGCAGCGACGCCGCGUGAGUGAAGAAGUAUUUCGGUAUGUAAAGCUCUAUCAGCAGGGAAGAAAAUGACGGUACCUGACUAAGAAGCCCCGGCUAACUACGUGCCAGCAGCCGCGGUAAUACGUAGGGGGCAAGCGUUAUCCGGAUUUACUGGGUGUAAAGGGAGCGUAGACGGCGAAGCAAGUCUGAAGUGAAAACCCAGGGCUCAACCCUGGGACUGCUUUGGAAACUGUUUUGCUAGAGUGUCGGAGAGGUAAGUGGAAUUCCUAGUGUAGCGGUGAAAUGCGUAGAUAUUAGGAGGAACACCAGUGGCGAAGGCGGCUUACUGGACGAUAACUGACGUUGAGGCUCGAAAGCGUGGGGAGCAAACAGG
rnacentral:rRNA from 1 species